rnacentral:tmRNA from 1 species
GGGGCCGACAUGGUUUCGACAGCGGCUUCGUAAUGGUUGUAAGCAUGCAGAGCGGUGAUGUACGGCUCUUCAAAACGAACAUCACGCCAUAACAGGCGACAACAGCUACGCUCUCGCUGCCUAAUAGCCUCAGGCUAUGAAGCUUUAUCCACGUGAAGUACAGUAGCGUGGACGAGUACCCCUCGGAACGAUCCGUCAUCCACGAGCCGGCAUAGGGGUAUCAGCUUGGAAGACUGGCCAAUGCGGUGGUCCGGAGCAUUGGUGAGAAACAGGACCUAAGUCCAUGCUGGGGUGCCCCUUCCCAGGCGUGGAUCUAAAACCAACAAGACGGAUAAGCAUGUAGAAAGCAGCCCUUGCGGUCGUUUGGACGAGGGUUCGAAUCCCUCCGGCUCCACAA